rnacentral:misc_RNA from 1 species
AAGAGACGUUGCCCUUCGGGGUAUACCUCCCACCCUUUGUUUAUUAUACCUUUGUUGCUUUGGCGGGCCCGCCCUCGGACCACCGGCUUCUGCUGGUCAGUGCCCGCCAGAGGACCUAAAACUCUGUUUGUUAAUAUUGUCUGAGUACUAUAUAAUAGUUA